rnacentral:rRNA from 1 species
UAGGGAAUAUUGCGCAAUGGGCGAAAGCCUGACGCAGCCAUGCCGCGUGUGUGAAGAAGGCCCUAGGGUUGUAAAGCACUUUCAGUGGUGAAGAAACCCCCGCGGUUAACACCUGCGGGAUUUGACGUUAACCACAGAAGAAGCACCGGCUAACUCCGUGCCAGCAGCCGCGGUAAUACGGAGGGUGCGAACGUUAAUCGGAAUUACUGGGCGUAAAGCGCACGUAGGCGGUUUGUUAAGUGGGAUGUGAAAUCCCCGGGCUCAACCUGGGAAUUGCAUUUCAAACUGACAGACUAGAGUGUAGUAGAGGGAGGUGGAAUUUCCUGUGUAGCGGUGAAAUGCGUAGAUAUAGGAAGGAACACCAGUGGCGAAGGCGACCUCCUGGACUAACACUGACGCUGAGGUGCGAAAGCGUGGGGAGCAAACAGGAUUAGAUACCCCCGUAGUCC